rnacentral:rRNA from 1 species
CCUACGGGGGGCGGCAGUGGGGAAUAUUGCACAAUGGACGAAAGUCUGAUGCAGCCAUACCGCGUGUGUGAAGAAGGCCCGAGGGUUGUAAAGCACUUUCAAUUGUGAGGAAGGUAGUGUAGUUAAUACCUGCAUUGCUUGACGUUAACUUUAGAAGAAGCACCGGCUAACUCUGUGCCAGCAGCCGCGGUAAUACAGAGGGUGCAAGCGUUAUUCGGAAUUACUGGGCGUAAAGCGCGCGUAGGCGGACUAUUAAGUCAGUUGUGAAAGCCCUGGGCUCAACCUAGGAACUGCAUCUGAUACUGGUAGUCUAGAGUUUAGGAGAGGGAAGUGGAAUUCCAGGUGUAGCAGUGAAAUGCGUAGAUAUCUGGAGGAACAUCAGUGGCGAAGGCGACUUCCUGGCCUAAAACUGACGCUGAGGUGCGAAAGCAUGGGUAGCGAACGGGAUUAGAUACCCCGGUAGUCCAUGCCGUAAACGAUGUCAACUAGUUGUUGGUCCUAUUAAAAGGAUUAGUAACGAAGCUAACGCGAUAAGUUGACCGCCUGGGGAGUACGGUCGCAAGAUUAAAACUCAAAGGAAUUGACGG